GUUGUCUGUCUGUGGUAGUGUUUUGGUUGAUGUUGUCUUAAGGGGAGUUAGCAAAAAAUUGGAAUUAAUUGUCUUGAGUAGCAAAAAUGAUUUUCUACCUUUGUUAGGGCGAAAUUGGUUAGACGUGUUUUACCCUAAUUGGAGACAGACAUUCCAUAACUCUCUCAGUGUAGGUAAUAUUAGUGAAAAUAUUCACAAAGAUGCCACAAUCGCGGAUAUCAAGGCGUGUUUUCCUAAUGUUUUCUGCAAGGAUUUUUCUUCACCGAUUCUUGGGUUUGAGGCAGAUUUAGUGUUGAAGGAAAAUUCACCAAUUUUUCGUAAAGCUUAUGCUGUACCUUACAGAUUACAGGAUAAAGUUAUACAGCACUUAGAAAUGUUGGAGAGGGAGAAAGUCAUAACACCAAUUAAAACUAGUGAAUGGGCUUCACCAGUAGUUGUGGUGAUGAAAAAAAAUCAGGACAUUAGAUAUGUAUUGGAAGCGUAACGACAAAGGCGCAUCGCUCGCAAUUGAGGGUCCAGAAAGACUCUAAGAAUUCUUCAAACGUGGCGGUUCCAUGCAGAAGUCACUGUAAGCGUAGGCUGGUCUCGGAGGAGGAUUUCCUUGGGUUUCCAGAUGAUGUGGCUGCAAAGAGGUUUCGCAAAGGCGAUCAUGAAGGAACGGAACCAAAAACGCCAAGUCCUAGACGUUCUGAAAGGUUAAAGGUUCGACCGAGGAGAGUUUAUAAAAGAUAAAUCAAAGAAAAUUUGUAGAUUAAUUGUUUAAACGUGUUUCGAUAUUGUAUCGAUCGAUUGAUCGAGUUGGCGUAAUUAUACGCUUUCAGAAGUUUGAAUUAUAAUGAGCGUUAAAGAACGCAAUCGCUAUUUUAUACAAAAUUAUAUAAUUAAGAAAAGUACAUUUUAAAUGAUGUUUUCGAUGGAUUAAAAAAUUUAAAAGGAUAAGAAUUGUGGUGUAAUAAUAAGGCCCAGUAAAGGCCGAGUCCGAUUGAUAAAGAUAUAUAAUCAAUAUAACUUCUCCUCCGGAGUGGAGAGUUCUAUCGAACACCAAUACUGUAACGCAAAGGAGGAAUAAA